GAUGAACGCUAGCGGCAGGCUUAAUACAUGCAAGUUGAGGGGCAGCAUGAUAUACGCGAGUAUAUUGAUGGCGACCGGCGGACGGGUGAGUAAUAGGUAGGAGACCUACCUCAUACAGGGGGAUAGCAUAGAGAAAUCUGUGGUAAUACCCCAUGAGGUUAUAUGAAUAGAGGCAUAUAAUCAAAGCAUAAGCGAUUAUGCGGUAUGAGAGGGGCCUACUGACCAUUAGCUAGUUGGUGAGGUAAGGGCUCACCAAGGCGAAGAUGGUUAGGGGUUUUGAGAGAGAGACCCCCCACAUUGGAACUGAGAGACGGUCCAGACUCCUACGGGAGGCAGCAGUAGGGAAUAUUGGGCAAUGGGCGAAAGCCUGACCCAGCCAUGCCGCGUGAAGGAAGACGGCCUUAUGGGGUUGUAAACUUCUUUACUACGCGAAUAGAGGUUAGUACGAGAUACUAAUAGGAAGGUAGUGUAGUAAAAGCACCGGCUAACUCCGUG
rnacentral:rRNA from 1 species